ACCAGACCCAGAGAGAGUGGCUGGAAGUGGGGCCUCGGCCAGAACCUAGUGCAGCCUGGGCAGUGCGGCCUCCACCGACCCUGCCUCCCGGGACAGGGCAGCGGAGGUCAGGUGCCUGGGCUUCUGGAGCAGGCUUCGAGCUCCGAGCUCCGGGAGAAAGGCGGCAGUGCGGCCAAGGACCCACCAGAUUGGGACCAGAGACGUCGCCAGCUCCAGCCAGCGAACAUGAUUGAUUACUUCCGGGGCCAGCUCCCUGGGAGGCCUCCCAGAGUUUCACCAGCAACGGGUCAACCCGAGGGGAGCAGGGUCAGCAGAGUCCUGACCACCCCCGUCCAAUCGGCUCCUCGGCCUGCAAAGGGGAACCUGGUCCUCUCAGAAGAAGCACUGUCCUUUCUCGAGGGCUCAUAGGGUGGGCCGGCUGAGUUCCUCACCUCCUCGGUCGGUCUAGGGACCAAGGAUUACACAGCAGCCUUGCAAAGCAGUUUCAGAGACUGAACUGCCCUCUGGUCCACGGUGAAGAAAUUGAGGUUGAGAUCUUGCCUGGGUCCCCAGCCAGUCGGUGCUGGAGCCGGGACUUGCAUCCCGGCAGCCUGGCACCCGAGGCCACGUGCCCUGGUGCCAUACAGAUCCUCGGAGGAAAGGGGGGCUUGGCGACCAUGUGGGGCCCGGGGAGGGGCUCUGUCACUCAGCAGCUGCUGCACGUUUCUUUCUUUCUCCCUUCUUAAUGGCUUUUUUGGAGUAUAACUGACAUACUAUAAAAUUCACCCCUUGUAAGUAUGCGAGUCCAUGAUUUGUACUAAAGCUACAGAGUUGUGCAGCCAUGACCACAACCAGGUUCUAGAACACGUGCUUCACCCCAGACGCUUCCUUGCUCCCUUGCUUUAAUGAGUCUCGACUCCCUUGUCUGUAAAGUGGGAAUGACACCGCCUGCCUUGUAGGCCUGUCCCAAGCAUUAGAUGAGCACGUAAGUGGCGUAUGGUAAAUGCGUGCGUUAUUACCAUUCUGGUCUCUUAGAGUCACUUACAUACAGACUUUCAGAGCUGGGUGUGGUCUGGAAGGCUGUCGAAUCCCACCCUCUCCUUCAACAUAUACGAAACCAAGGUGCCAAGAAGGUCAGCAACUCACCGCUAAGGACACGCCGCUCAGGACAUGCAGCACAUCGAGCGGCAGGGCUGGACCGGAAGCCAGGCCUCUGGGUUGGUAGUUCGGUGCUCUCUUAUCUCCCACGAGACUUUCCCCUGAGGCACAGGGGAGGUGUCAUUGCCAGCACCACCACCCCCGCUCUUUUGGGGGGCCCCCAGGGCAAUGCCAACUGGAGUUUGCUUGUGCUGGUGGGAGACUGCCCAGGACUCUGGCCUUGGAGAGAGGGUGCAGUGGGGAAGGCUGGGUGCAGAAUCCGGGGACGCUGCCCAAGGUGGAGGCCGAGGCGGGAAUGUCCACUGUCGGGACAGAGGACGCAUUGGUUCAGACCACCCACAGGCCGGCCAGCCUCAUGGGCACGUGUGCAGUGACACGGGACCCCGCGUUUGGUUUAAUGCUUUGCUGUUGCCCCCUUCAAAUUCUUACCAAGUUUUUAAACAGGGGACCCCACAUUUUUAUUUCGCGCAGGCCCCCAUAAAUCGUGUAGCCAGUUUUGCCCACGGGACAGAGAGCGGAGCCCAAGCUUGACUCUCGAGGCCCCACUAAGGAAUAGCAUUUCUCCACCCAGAACUUACCUACAUAUGAGCUCUUUAUGUACGCGACGCGAUCAUGGAGUCUUAACAGUGAGCAUUAAGAGAAAUCAAAGUUGCAAAACAAUCAGCACACUCUGAUCCAAGUUAUGUCAAAAGAUGCCCCACAAAACUAUAUAUUUCUAUGUGCAUUAUACCUGUAUGAAAAAAACGUUUUUAGAGAACUCUGGAAAGUCUCCAAACUGAGAGCAGUGGUUACUUCUGGGGAAGAGUCACCCAGGGCAUUGUUAAUUCUUUCCGUAUGUUUGAGUUGCUGGGGGUUUUUUCACGAGGAGAAUGUUUUCAGGAAUUACAUAAUGACAGGUAAAAUGAUCAGAUACUCCUAGUAUAUUCUGUGAACAUUUUCUUCUAUCAGUAAAUAUUCUUAACACCUUCGGAAGUGUCUUGCGGGACUUCCCUGGCGGUCCAGUGGUUCGGACUUGGCACUUUUCACUGCCGAGGGCCAGGGUUCAGUCCCUGACCGGGGUUCUAAGAUCCCGCAAGCCGCACAGUGUGGCCAAAAAAAGAAAAAUUUCUUGAGAGGGAAAAGGAGGGACCGGGGGACACUGAAGCGUGGCAGGUAGCGGAAAGAAAGAAAGAGCUUUGGGCGAGUUAGGGCUGCGGGGAGCAGGCUGGACGCGGGGAGGGGGAGGCUGGGUGUGGAAACCAUCGCCCAGACGGUCUGUGGGCGC